rnacentral:rRNA from 1 species
GAUGAACGCUGGCGGCGUGCCUAAUACAUGCAAGUCGAGCGAACAGAUAAGGAGCUUGUUCCUUUGACGUUAGCGGCGGACGGGUGAGUAACACGUGGGUAACCUACCUAUAAGACUGGGAUAACUUCGGGAAACCGGAGCUAAUACCGGAUAAUAUUUCGAACCGCAUGGUUCGAUAGUGAAUGAUGGUUUUGCUUUCACUUAUAGAUGGACCCGGGCCGUAUAAGCUAGUUGGUAAGGUAACGGCCUACCAAUGCGACGACUCGUAGCCGACCGGAGAGGUUGAUCGGCCACACUGGAACUGAGACACGGUCCAGACCCCUACGGGAGGCAGCAGUAGCGAAUCUUCGGCAAUGGGCGAAAGCCUGACGGAGCAACGCCGCGUGAGGGAUGAAGGUCUUCGGAUUGUAAAGAUCUGUUAUUGGGAAAGAACAUCCGUAUGAGUAACUAUGCACGUCUUGACGGUACCUAAUCAGAAAGCCACGGCUAACUACGUG